rnacentral:rRNA from 1 species
GAUCAGAGUGAAAUAGAACCUGAAACCAUUUGCUUACAAUCAUUCAGAGCCCUAUGUAGCAAUACAGGGUGAUGGACUGCCUUUUGCAUAAUGAGCCUGCGAGUUGUGGUGUCUGGCAAGGUUAAGCAAACGCGAAGCCGUAGCGAAAGCGAGUCUGAAUAGGGCGCUUAGUCAGAUGCUGCAGACCCGAAACGAAGUGAUCUAUCCAUGAGCAAGUUGAAGCUAGUGUAAGAACUAGUGGAGGACUGAACCCAUAGGCGUUGAAAAGCCCCGGGAUGACUUGUGGAUAGGGGUGAAAGGCCAAUCAAACUUCGUGAUAGCUGGUUCUCUCCGAAAUAUAUUUAGGUAUAGCGUUGUGUCGUAAUAUAAGGGGG